CUACGGGGGGCUGCAGUGAGGAAUAUUGCACAAUGGGGGGAACCCUGAUGCAGCAACGCCGCGUGGAGGAUGACGCAUUUCGGUGUGUAAACUCCUUUUAUAUGUCAAGAAAAUGACGGUAGCAUAUGAAUAAGCACCGGCUAACUCCGUGCCAGCAGCCGCGGUAAUACGGAGGGUGCAAGCGUUACUCGGAAUCACUGGGCGUAAAGGGCGCGUAGGCGGGCUUGUAAGUCAGGUGUGAAAUCCUACAGCUUAACUGUAGAACUGCACUUGAAACUACGAGCCUAGAGUAUGGGAGGGGCAGAUGGAAUUAGUGGUGUAGGGGUAAAAUCCGUAGAUAUCACUAGGAAUACCUAAAGCGAAGGCGAUCUGCUGGAACAUAACUGACGCUAAGGCGUGAAAGCGUGGGGAGCAAACAGGAUUAGAUACCCUCGUAGUC
rnacentral:rRNA from 1 species